AGUCCAUUAUGUACUGGGCUGUGAGAAGGAUGUAGCGGGAUUCUCUGUGUAAUGUGCUGUGGAACAGUGCUUGGUACUUUGGAGCGCAUAGCAAAUGCUUCCAUGUCCCUCUUCCUGUAGUCCUUGUCGUCAUCAAAUUUUUUUUUUUUAUUACUAACAAGGAAUCACCCCUUAACAAUGACAUUUCAGAUAGGAGAGGAUAUCGUAAGUGGAGCCUCAUAUGUUCUCGCAGCAGCUUCGGAAUUAGUUAAACCUCUGAGUAGAGUCGAGACUUCCCUACAGGGCAGGGUGUGGAAGUGCAGUCGCUGGAGGAUGGGUUUGAGGAGGGGCUGGUGCUGGGAGGCAUGCGGAGGAGGCCAGUGGCUGGGCGGACAGGAGGAGCGUGUGCUGCUGGAGGGCACAGGGUUUGUUCUUAGGACUCCGAAAACGUUCUCCAUCAACCGUGCCAGUGGUUGCACAGCUCUGUGAAUACACUGAAAAUCACCAGCUUCUAUACUUUAAAUGGAUACAUUGUAUGGUGACCUGAAAGAACUGAGGUCUUAGGCAGAGCUCUGCUGGAACCAGCCCCGCGUCAGCACUGGCCGUGGCUCUCAAAGCAGGUCUUCCUGGACUGGUGUUCAUCUCAUCCCAGGCCUGAAGCAGGCGGGGGUUGCUGUGGUGAGGCAACUUCAGAAAUCACAGGGGUAGGGACUGGGCAAGGUGGGUGUGGACUGCUUGUCAGCUGUGGGACUGAUAAUAAAAACAUGUAAAGCUC